CCUACGGGAGGCAGCAGUGGGGAAUAUUGCACAAUGGGGGAAACCCUGAUGGAGCAACACCGCGUGAGUGAAGAAGGGUUUCGGCUCGUAAAGCUCUGUUGUUGGAGAGGAACGUGCGUGAGAGUAACUGUUCACGCAGUGACGGUAUCCAACCAGAAAGUCACGGCUAACUACGUGCCAGCAGCCGCGGUAAUACGUAGGUG
rnacentral:rRNA from 1 species